UGCUCAGAACGAACGCUGGCGGCAGGCUUAACACAUGCAAGUCGAGCGCACUCUUCGGAGUGAGCGGCGGACGGGUUAGUAACGCGUGGGAACAUACCUUUCUCUAAGGAAUAGCCUCUGGAAACGGAGAGUAAUACCUUAUACGCCCUUCGGGGGAAAGAUUUAUCGGAGAGAGAUUGGCCCGCGUUAGAUUAGAUAGUUGGUGGGGUAACGGCCUACCAAGUCUACGAUCUAUAGCUGGUUUUAGAGGAUGAUCAGCAACACUGGGACUGAGACACGGCCCAGACUCCUACGGGAGGCAGCAGUGGGGAAUCUUGGACAAUGGGCGCAAGCCUGAUCCAGCCAUGCCGCGUGAGUGAUGAAGGCCUUAGGGUCGUAAAGCUCUUUCGCCAGGGAUGAUAAUGACAGUACCUGGUAAAGAAACCCCGGCUAACUCCGUGCCAGCAGCCGCGGUAAUACGGAGGGGGUUAGCGUUGUUCGGAAUUACUGGGCGUAAAGCGUACGUAGGCGGGUUGUUAAGUUAGAGGUGAAAUCCCAGGGCUCAACCCUGGAACUGCCUUUAAUACUGGCAACCUAGAGUUCGAGAGAGGUGAGUGGAAUUCCGAGUGUAGAGGUGAAAUUCGUAGAUAUUCGGAGGAACACCAGUGGCGAAGGCGGCUCACUGGCUCGAUACUGACGCUGAGGUACGAAAGUGUGGGGAGCAAACAGGAUUAGAUACCCUGGUAGUCCACACCGUAAACGAUGAAUGCCAGUCGUCGGGUAGCAUGCUAUUCGGUGACACACCUAACGGAU
rnacentral:rRNA from 1 species